rnacentral:rRNA from 1 species
AUGAACGCUGGCGGCGUGCCUCAUACAUGCAAGUCGAGCGAACAGAUGAGGAGCUUGCUCCUCUGACGUUAGCGGCGGACGGGUGAGUAACACGUGGAUAACCUACCUAUAAGACUGGGAUAACUUCGGGAAACCGGAGCUAAUACCGGAUAAUAUAUUGAACCGCAUGGUUCAAUAGUGAAAGACGGUUUUGCUGUCACUUAUAGAUGGAUCCGCGCCGCAUUAGCUAGUUGGUAAGGUAACGGCUUACCAAGGCAACGAUGUGUAGCCGACCUGAGAGGGUGAUCGGCCACACUGGAACUGAGACACGGUCCAGACUCCUACGGGAGGCAGCAGUAGGGAAUCUUCCGCAAUGGGCGAAAGCCUGACGGAGCAACGCCGCGUGAGUGAUGAAGGUCUUCGGAUCGUAAAACUCUGUUAUUAGGGAAGAACAAAUGUGUAAGUAACUAUGCACGUCUUGACGGUACCUAAUCAGAAAGCCACGGCUAACUACGUG